GCAUAUCAAUAAGCGGAGGAAAAGAAACCAACAGGGAUUGCCUCAGUAACGGCGAGUGAAGCGGCAAGAGCUCAAAUUUGAAAGCUGGCUCCUUCGGGGUCCGCAUUGUAAUUUGCAGAGGAUGCUUCGGGAGCGGUCCCCAUCUAAGUGCCCUGGAACGGGACGUCAUAGAGGGUGAGAAUCCCGUAUGGGAUGGGGUGUCCGCGCCCGUGUGAAGCUCCUUCGACGAGUCGAGUUGUUUGGGAAUGCAGCUCUAAAUGGGUGGUAAAUUUCAUCUAAAGCUAAAUAUUGGCCGGAGACCGAUAGCGCACAAGUAGAGUGAUCGAAAGAUGAAAAGCACUUUGAAAAGAGAGUUAAAAAGCACGUGAAAUUGUUGAAAGGGAAGCGCUUGCGACCAGACUCGCUCGUGGGGUUCAGCCGGCAUUCGUGCCGGUGUACUUCCCCGCGAGCGGGCCAGCGUCGGUUUGGGCGGUCGGUCAAAGGCCCUCGGAAGGGUAACGCCCCCUCGGGGGGCGUCUUAUAGCCGAGGGUGCAAUGCGACCUGCCUGGACCGAGGAACGCGCUUCGGCUCGGACGCUGGCAUAAUGGUCGUAAGCGACCCGUCUUGAAACACGGACCAAGGAGUCUAACAUCUACGCGAGUGUUCGGGUGUCAAACCCGUGCGCGCAGUGAAAGCGAACGGAGGUGGGAACCCUUUUGGGUGCACCAUCGACCGAUCCUGAUGUCUUCGGAUGGAUUUGAGUAAGAGCGUAGCUGUUGGGACCCGAAAGAUGGUGAACUAUGCCUGAAUAGGGCGAAGCCAGAGGAAACUCUGGUGGAGGCUCGUAGCGGUUCUGACGUGCAAAUCGAUCGUCGAAUUUGGGUAUAGGGGGCGAAAGACUAAUCGAACCAUCUGGUAGCUGGUUUCCUGCCGA
rnacentral:rRNA from 1 species